rnacentral:SRP_RNA from 1 species
UCGUGCUAGACGGGGUGCUAGCGGUACCCUGAACCCGCAAUCCGCUCUAACGGGGUUGAAUUCCCCCUCCCGGUCUGGCGCCACCCGAGACGGCGCUGAUCGUUCUGGUGUUGAUGGUUGGGUCCUACGCGGCAGGGCACUUCGAACUCCGUCAGGUCCGGAAGGAAGCAGCGGUAAGAAGACCGUCCUGGGUGCCGUAGGGCAGCCUGACCUGAGCUAGCCGGUCUGCGUACGUUGGGUGGCAGGACCAAAAGGGGGUGCACGA